CCAUUUCGUGUUUUUGUGCGGACGGUUAUAUUUUUUUUUGUCUUUCCACCACACAGUGUGACUCUCUAUCCGUGGCUCUCGAAAUUAGUGAAUCAAUAAUAAGAAAAAGUGAUUUUAUUGAUCGCGGUCUUAGUUUCUUUCCCCGGUGUGUGUCUUUCAGUGUACCGUGCGAAGCUAAAAGAACAAACACGACAACAGAGAAAAAAAUAAACCUUAAGAACCUUAGAGAAGAAAAAUUACCAUAAAGGAAGCCCGGGAGAAACCAGCUUCCAGUAGUGUUCGGUGCGCGUUGGGUCUCUCUAGGGGGAUCAUCGUCAUCGAUUUAGCAUCUGGAGACUUGUUGCGGCAAAGAAACGAACCCCUUGAAUUGCCGCUGCUGCUGCUGCUGCUGGGUUGGAACCAAGGAGAAAGAAGCAAGUGGAGCAACAGCAGCGUGACACAUGAGAAGGGAAGAGAAGCCGUUUCGCAUCUCGUGUGAUGAUUUAUCCGGAAAGCGUUAAUCUUCUGAAUGAACCAUUGAAGGAGGAACAGAAGAAAAAGCGAAGGCGGAAAAGGGAUUACCAAUACCCCUGGUGCUGCUGCUCUGUGGCUGCCGUUGCUGCUGCUACAACUACUACAACUGUUAAUGCUACAACUCCUACUGACUGUGGCUAUUAACGAAACUCAAACGGCAACGAUAUAGCAGCAGACGUGAAACAGAAAACUUUUUGGUGAAAUUUGAGAACCGAUUGGCCCUCUCCGAUUGGACUAUUGCUAGGGGUCGGGCUCUCUUUUU